UACGUAGGGUGCGAGCGUUAAUCGGAAUUACUGGGCAUAAAGCGUGCGCAGGCGGUUGUGCAAGACAGAUGUGAAAUCCCCGGGCUUAACCUGGGAAUUGCAUUUGUGACUGCACGGCUAGAGUGUGUCAGAGGGGGGUAGAAUUCCACGUGUAGCAGUGAAAUGCGUAGAGAUGUGGAGGAAUACCGAUGGCGAAGGCAGCCCCCUGGGAUAACACUGACGCUCAUGCACGAAAGCGUGGGGAGCAAACAGG
rnacentral:rRNA from 1 species